rnacentral:pre_miRNA from 1 species
AAAGUACUCCCUCCAUCCGGAAAUACUUGUCAUCAAAAUGAAUAAAAGGGGAUGUACCUAGAUGUAUUUUAGUUUUAGAUACAUCCCUUUUUGUCCAUUUUAAUGACAAGUAUUUUCGGACGGAGGGAGUAAUUG